CUACGGGCCGCUCCAGUGAGGAAUAUUGGACAAUGGGGGCAACCCUGAUCCAGCCAUGCCGCGUGAGUGAAGAAGGCCUUAGGGUUGUAAAGCUCUUUCAAUGGUGAAGAUAAUGACGGUAGCCAUACAAGAAGCCCCGGCUAAAUUCGUGCCAGCAGCCGCGGUAAUACGAAUGGGGCAAGCGUUGUUCGGAAUCACUGGGCUUAAAGCGUACGCAGGCGGACAUGAAAGUCAGGAGUGAAAUCCCGGGGCUCAACCCCGGAACUGCUUCUGAAACUCCAUGUCUAGAAUCCGGGAGGGGUUGGCGGAAUUCCUAGUGUAGAGGUGAUAUUCGCAGAUAUUAGGAGGAACACCAGUGGCGAAGGCGGCCAACUGGACCGGUAUUGACGCUCAUGUACGAAAGCGUGGGGAGCAAACAGGAUUAGAUACCCCCGUAGUC
rnacentral:rRNA from 1 species